rnacentral:rRNA from 1 species
UAGGGAAUCUUCGGCAAUGGACGAAAGUCUGACCGAGCAACGCCGCGUGAGUGAAGAAGGUUUUCGGAUCGUAAAACUCUGUUGUUAGAGAAGAACAAGGACGUUAGUAACUGAACGUCCCCUGACGGUAUCUAACCAGAAAGCCACGGCUAACUACGUGCCAGCAGCCGCGGUAAUACGUAGGUGGCAAGCGUUGUCCGGAUUUAUUGGGCGUAAAGCGAGCGCAGGCGGUUUCUUAAGUCUGAUGUGAAAGCCCCCGGCUCAACCGGGGAGGGUCAUUGGAAACUGGGAGACUUGAGUGCAGAAGAGGGGAGUGGAAUUCAAUGUGUAGCGGUGAAAUGCGUAGAUAUAUGGAGGAACACCAGUGGCGAAGGCGGCUCUCUGGUCUGAAACUGACGCUGAGGCUCGAAAGCGUGGGGAGCAAACAGG